rnacentral:rRNA from 1 species
UACGUAGGGGGCAAGCGUUGUCCGGAAUCAUUGGGCGUAAAGAGCGUGUAGGCGGCCCGGUAAGUCCGCUGUGAAAGUCCAGGGCUCAACCCUGGGAUGCCGGUGGAUACUGUCGGGCUCGAGUCCGGAAGAGGAGUGUGGAAUUCCUGGUGUAGCGGUGAAAUGCGCAGAUAUCAGGAGGAACACCAAUGGCGAAGGCAGCACUCUGGGACGUGACUGACGCUGAGACGCGAAAGCUAGGGGAGCGAACAGG